UCGAAGCCAAAUAUUCUCUAUUCUUGCAACCGCGACCAAUCUCGUACAUAAUGUCCCGACGUAGUAACCUAAUUUUUAAUCGGUACAGGCCACUGUUGACCGUGAUGUCAAAACAACUUAGUCGCUGGAUAAUUUGUGACCAAAAUCAUCCUUACAAGCCGAAAGGAAGAAAGAAACAAAAAAAAAGGGCAUUUUAGAGCAAUCUGGUAUCGAUUUUCACGAAAGGAGAUGAAAAAAGAAUAGAAAUUUUUUCUCACGGCCGUAUUUUGUGCAUGAUUCUACGUUAAACAAAGCGGGCUUUCCCGGAGUUCCGCUUCGACCUUCAGCCGAUCACUGCCCCUCCGCCGUCGUCACCACGAACCUCCCGCUCCCGGUCACUGCCGCCUCCCGCAGCUCCCCGAUCCCGACUUCGGCGCAGGUGUAUGCCACCCUCUUGCCCAGGCUCCGGCCUCUUGCCGCCGCGUCGCGUGUGGCCCCCCACCUCCACGCCCCCAAUUCGUCUUCCCUUUCGCACCAGAACACGAGCUCGGGCUUCGAGUUGCUGUACAGGUACAGAAAAUCGCCCCUCGAGCACAUGCCGAUGGACGAAACGCAGUAAUUGUCGUCCCGCAAUUCCUUCACUAGUUCCUCCGGCAUGUUGCAGAUCUCUUCGAGUUCGUCCGCCCCGACUGCUGUUGAUCCCCACAGCUUCACGCCCUUCACGUCCUCUGAAUUGCCCAGGAGCCCUGCCACGAUCAGGCGGUCACCGGCGAAACUGAUGACGGAGUAGAAAACGUGGCGGUCCGGACGCAGGUCGUACGGCCCGAACCACGCCCCUGCCUCCGGAUCGAACGCGUGGGUCGCGCCGGUCAGCUUCUCCAUGAUGUACAUCCUCCGGCCGUCGGUGGCGACGGAGAGCCACAGGGAUGCAGAGGAGUCCUUGAGCCGGGCGGGCAUGGGGUCGCACGCGCUCCACGUGCCGGCCCGCGUGUCGUAAACCUCGACGGAGAGGGGGUCGUCCUCGAAGUCGCAGGCGCCGCCGGCGACGACGAGGCGGCUGCCGACGAGGGCGACGGCCGGGUCGACCCGCCACGCGGAGGGAGGGCUCGCGUGGCGCCACGUCAGGUGGAGCGGGUCGGGCGAGAAGGAGAGCCGUGCCGGGGAGACCCCGUAGAGAAGCGCCGAGUGCGACGACCGGAGAGGGGCCGACGCCAGCAGCUUCGCCGCCGCCGCGGCGCCGGGGCCGGCCUCCAGGUCCAUCCAGACACGGGAGCGGGGGUCGUAGGCGCGCGCGGAGACGGCGUGGGGCGGCCGCGCGCUCUGGUAGUGGACCAGGAGCCACGGCCGGGGCCGGCGGAGGUGGCGGAGGGAGGAGGAGACGGCGAGGCUCCAGGAGCGGGAGACGCGGACGGCGGGGACGAGGUCGACGAGGGGCACGUGCGAGAGCGUGAGCUCGAGGACGUCACCAUGGAGAACCGCGCCUGCUUCUUUUUCUUCUCCUCCGUCGUCGUCGAGGCUUCCGUGCUUUCGCGCUGCCGCCGCCAUUUUCUCUUUUUCCAUUUUCGAGGAAGACGAUGAAGCGACGUGCGAGAGCGGGUUUUAAAUAAAACCAGGUCGAACGGGUCGGACUCUUUCGUCGCUCUUUCUCUCUCUCUCCCCCCGCCCCUCUUGCUGGAUAAGGCCAGCGGCGAUUUCUUGAAACGUUUCGUUUUUAAUGCCGAUAAAAUGGAAAUGUCAUCAUCACCUUUUGAUAAAUUUUUAUGUAUUUAUUCAUAAAAUAGGAAAUUAAAAUCUCAUGAUGGUCAGACCUGACGCACCGAAAAAGGGAAAAAAAAAUGCAAAAUUUCCCUCUUCCACGUUCGGUUUGAAUAUAUUAUAUAGUUGCUGGACCAAGCUUGUCCGAAUGACGGCUUUUAUAUAAUUAAUGGCUAUGAACCUAACGACAUGUAUACCUGGGGUCUUCUCCCGAACGUUGUUUCUCUUGCAAUUGCUUUUGCAUAUUUGAAUUAGUUUCUCUUGCAGUUGGCCAGUAAUAAGAAAUAUCAAAUUAAUAUUCUGUAUAAUGAAAAAAAAGAAUUGGUCAAUAUUAAACCGUCUCAAGGAUUAGAUCAUAAUCAAUAGUACCCAAAAGUCUUACCUAGAAUUCCGAAAACAUAAGUUUAAUUAAAUUUAUAUAUGUACUCUAUCAUCCCCUCCUCCUGAACAAAGAGGGAAACGAGGGGAGCGUACACCAUUAAGGAAAUAACUUUUAUAUAGUAAUUUGUAAAAGUUAUUUUGAAAAUUUUUUACCACAAAUUCAACAACUUUAUAUGUCACUCCGACCUCAUUCAAGUAAAAGUUUUUAAAAAAUUAUAACACUCAACCUAUCAAUUGAAAACAUAUGGUAUAAAAAUGAGAACCGUAUAAAAGUUAUGUUAUUUGUGUAUUUUUUUGGGGGGAUUGUUUUAGCUUUGUUUAAUUUUAAGUUAAGAAUUUAUUGGAUUUUUACUAUUAGCUCUAAAGAACAGAUUUUAGCUACAACUUCCACAAUGCAACUAUGUCACCACUCACCACUCAAUGAAAAUCUUAUAUAAUAAAUCUCCUGAAGCAGCUCUUCAAAGCGAGAGAAAUCAGAAAAUUCCUUGAUGCAUAUCAUAUGAAUGUGGAGACUAAAUGUACAACCAUAUCUCCAUAUGUACCAUAAUAUAAGUAUUCGAGUAUAAGUCCAACAUUGCGUUUUUAUACACAUCUUGAUGGUUGAGUUUGAGAGAUCGAAGUGGUCUUCAUCAUGUAAAGAAACCCUAACUUAUCCAUCGGAAAUGACACUUUUUUAGGGAAAAGAAAAUCGAUUAUUGGUAAGAUACUUUUUUGGUCGGAAUUAUUGGUAAGGCUUUGGCAGAUUAUAUUAUUUGCCUUAUCUCCGGAAAAGGCUGUAAAUUCCAAUUCCCAAAUGUCUAUGACGUAAUAUGUGAUGGGUUUAUGAGGUAAUUGGAAUAAGCUAGGUUUUCUCAUUUUAUUUAUUUAUUACAUUGUGCCCUCGAUUCAGACAUAAUAAGCAACUUUUCAUAUUCAAAGUGGGUUUAAAGCAGACGUGUCAUUUCGGGAUGAAAUCAUCAUGAAUUUUUGAACUAAUAACCAACGUUUCAACCAAAUUUUUAUACAUUUUUCGGGUCAAUUAAAUCUUUGAACUUGGGUCCUUUUUUAUUUAUUUAUCUUUUUCAUUAUUUAUAUUAAAAAGAUGUGUUAAAAAAUGGACGUGGUAGCCAUUAUUAAAUACCAACUAGACCCAAAAUAGUGGCAGACUAAAAACAUCGAAAAAAAUACAAAAAAAUAUUAAAAAUUUUAAACUUAUCCAUUGUAUUGGUCAUCAGAAUUCAGGACUUGCUGGACUUCUCCCUUUUGAAUUAAUUGUCAUUAAGCCUUAGCUUUGGAAAUUCAUCGAGCUAUCAAUAAGCAUAUCAUAAUGGUUCAAAUAUUUAAUCUGAUGUCCGCGUAAUUUGUAGAAUAAUACACUAAGGGAUCUUGGGAAUAUUUUUUAACAGCAAGUGGACACGUGGGAUUAACAAUUCAAAAUUAUGGAUGUUGCUGCUUUUAAGAAAAGGGUUUUCCGCCCAUUAUCACCUCCAUGUUACCUUCCAAACCCUAGCAACAUGCUUAAAGAAAAGAACAAAAAAAGCCUCAAAAUAUACUUAUUUAGCACAAAUACUUUCGAUUUUUUUUUAUGUCACGAAAAAAAUUCAAAAUUAUACAUGUAUGACACAUAUACUAUCUAUUUCAAUUCAUUCGAGGUUAUCUAUAACAUAAAAAAGGUUCGGGUUAUUUUUGUUAUUUUUAGGGAUACGAACAAAUUCUAGAUUUUUGCCAUCCGCUGCGGUGGCUCAGCUAGGUAGGCGCUAGACUUCUAUCGAGGAAGUCUAGUGUUCGAAGCUCCUGUAACUUGCGUUACAGGAAGGCUAGCUUGAGAUUCUUGGUGAUUUAUCCGAUGGCACGUGUGUAGUGGCUAGUACGUAUCGCCCCCAGUAGUUUAUUUCUGGUUGCCGGCCGUGCGGGGUUCCCUAGAUCACAAAAAAAAAAAAAUUAUUAUUGCAGUGUACAUAAUUUGAAAAUUUUGGUGGUAGUAACCUUAAGAGAAAAUGGCUUUCCUUUUCGCUUACAUCUUCUCGUCGCAUUCAAAAGUCUAACUUUGGUUAGGGGGAAUCUGGCUGGAAACUUUGAAGCGGUGGAACUGAGACGCUAAUUUCCAUGGAAAUAAUAAUAAAACAAGACAAAGACAAUGACAAUGACAAAGACAAAUGGAUUCAACCCCACGUAGUUUGGUCCCCGAACUAUGCGGGACCCACCAGCUCGGGAGCAUCACACGGUCUGGGAUGCAUCCCCACCUGAACACCGUCGGCAGCCGAUGUGGACACGUGCGGACGAUCCCGUGGAAGCUAGCCACUCUAACCGCGAAAAUUGGCCAAAAUCUUUUUAAUUGCAUAUUUAGCAAUUUUUCUCUUUUUUGGGUUUUGUGACCUACGAAAUUCAAUUUUAUAAAAUGGGAGAAGUCUACCCUUGGCCUCUUUUGGCCAAUGAACAUUUUGUUGGUUUCUUAUCAUUUGUUUGACAUGUCAAGCUCAUAAUUAGUGCCAAUGAUUAAUAUGGGUCUGAUCUAAAUUGAACAUAUUCAUAUGCAUACCAAAACAUUUAACCCACUUUAAACUCCUCAUAUUAAUAUGUUAUUUGGAUAAUUUUGUUAUCAAAUUAAAAAAUAAAUUAACUAAAUAAAAAAAUUGUUAGUAAAUAAAAGAAAAAAACAUAAAUAAUCUAAAUAUUGAAAUGCACAUAAAGAACUAGAAAAGUAUGCAUGUGUUGUGAUGGAGUGUAUGGUAAAUGGAUGCUUUAUCGAUCCCAGUCAAUUUAAUAUUUUUUUUUUGUUGCCAAAUUUAUCGCUUAAACAUAUAAUCAGUGUAAAUAUGGCGAGUGAAAGUUUCUGAUUUUCUUCGUGGGAAAUCUCCCAACGAUCACCAACCAUGUAAUCCAAAAGGUGAAUCGGCAACUUCGCCGAUCAAAAACAUGAAAGUGCCCAAUUACUUUAAAUUAAAUAUAUUGAGACUCUCAUAUACUAAAUAGUCAUCAUCAUCAAUGACGUAAUCAUAUUCAGAAAAAUUUAAAUAAAAAAAAAGGAAUAAAGCAAAACUGGAGUCAAUCCAAUAUCAGUUGAGCAUUAGAUGAAAUAUUGUUGUUUUCAAGGACUAUGCCUCCCACAUGAUUGUUUAUCAAUUUAAUUCUAAACCUUUUGAUAAUUACUAAUUUUUUUUAAAAUCUUUUAAAUGUGUCAAUCUAGUUCUAAAUUUUUGAAUGAGUUACUAAUUUAGUCUUAAAUCUUUUAAUGAUUUGCUAAUUUAGUAUUUUCGACAAUUUUUUUUGGGGCGAAAAUAACGAACAUGGUGGUCUAAUUAGUGUCUAUUGUCCUACGUGGUAGGAUCGGUGCUAAUGUUGGAUAAUUUUUUACAUUCUUUUUUGUAUUUCUUAUAUAUAUAUUUACCUUUCCUUCUUCCUCUAGCUAGUCGCCAAGCCUAGGGAAUGGCUAGUAGUCGGCCUUGGCCAGGUUGGCGAGGCUAGACUUUGCCCAAUGAUGGCUCAACCACUAAAUAGGCCGACUAAGGCUGGACAAUUGAUUAUAGGAAGAGGGAAAGAAAGAAAAGAAAUGAAAGAAUUCGAAAAAAAAAUUAAAAUAAAAAUUUUAAAAUGUCAAUUAUUUCCGGUUGGUAGAACUAAAUUGGCAAAUUGUAAAAAAAAAAUUAAACUAAAUUGACAACUCAUCAAAAUAUUUAAGACUAAGUUAUAAAAUGUUUAAAACUAAAUUGAUAAGUUGUCAAAAAGUUAAUGAUUAAAUUGGCAUAAUUGAAAGGUUUAUGAUCAAAUUGGCUAAUAUAUAAUAAGUUUAAGACUUUUUGGACAAUUUUCCCCAUCUCCAACUCUACUUAACGCAUUGGGCACUUUAUUUACUGGAAGACUGGUCACAUUUUUUUUCUAUUUUUCAAAUGGGUUUGAAAUGAGUUAGCUCUCAACUCGUUUAAGAUCCAUUAGUCGUUAGAGUUUUUUUUUUCUUGGACUCAUAUAAGUCCGUUUUUAAAAGUUAAGGCAACCAAUUUAUAUAUUCUCCAUUAGAUAUGAGUUAAAAUAUGAGCUCUAGACCCAUUUCGCCAUCUCUAAUCAUAAUUAGAAUUUUGUUCUCAUUAAUACACUAAAAUUCUAAUGUAAGAGCGUAAUAGAAAAUGAUAAAUUGAUUAAAUGUAUUCAAAUUUAAGGCAAAAAAAGACUUACUCGACCAAACUUGACCACUAUUAGAAAACAAAUUAAAAUUUUGGAAAGAUGAGAGAUGUUGAUACUAAAUUUAGAAAGCAAGAUAAUAAAUCAUAACAUUAAUCUUAAAUAUUUAAACAAAUAUUCGAUUUGUCUAUCUAACUUGUCGGGAUGUACUGAUAUAUGACCAAACACGAGCAUUUAAUGAAAUUUUUGUACAAUAGGUCGAAGUGUCUACUGGGCUUGCUUUCCAAACAGUGGAGACCCUAGAUAUGCGGAUCAGAAGGGAUUAUCAUCACGUCAGCAUUAUCCAAUCGAAACUCGGGGAAUGCCAGUCCACGGUGGCCGACCACAGCCAUCGAGGAGUACACGAUAGGUGAGAAAUGGAUCAGAAGAUAGAGAAAGAGGAGAAAAUAGAAGAGAGAGAAAGAGCUGCUUUCUUGGCACUUCCUUUUCAGAUACAUAAUAAAUAAUUGUUUCAAUGUUGAUGAGGAUGCAAGAUAAGGAUGAAUCCGAGAGUAGGGCUUACUUGAACAGGGAGUCGUGUGAAUCACAUGUCAAACCUCGCAUAUCCUCCACGGAGUCCUAAGAUAUUUAAGUUCAAAUGCCCGGUGGAUCCCCACAAUCGACCAUGUGAAUCUUGCUUGAUUAUAUUUUGUUUGCUUAUUUAUUACUGCUGAGCACGCCAGGUGAACAUAUCAUCCUUAUCCCCUUUAUAAGUGUCAGGCAUCGUUUCUGUACUGGUUUGUCUUUCUUUAAAACACAGAACCCAUGAGUUUUCCAGCUCCAUACAUGCUGUGCGCGAUGACAUGCUUUCUUUGAACAGCUAACAAGUCGAAUGCAAUGGCGACGAUAAGUUGUGAUGCGAAGAGCAGCGAGGCGAGAGCAGAGAUCAUAUUGUGGUGUAGAAUAGGCAACCAAAGAUUUUAGGAAGAGGAUUCGUCUUUCCCAAUUGAAAAAGAUUCGGUUGAUUCAGUCGACUUACUCGAGUUUAGACUCCUUAUAUAUUGGCGUGCUCUAUGCUAGAUUAACUCCAGUCACCUCGCUUUCCUGCUACAUCAAGUCAGUAUCAAGAAUUUUCUGGGGCUCUCCCAUAUUUUUUCUAUUGACACCUACUAUUCAUGUACUUCAUUAGAAAAUUAGGAAUCGAAUUCGUUGACAAUCAUUAAACUUAACCCCUAAGCAGGAAAAAAAUCAUCAUUAUUACAUAAGCCCACUGUCACGUUCUCAUUUUUAUUCCCUCUCAUCAUCCAAUUUUGAAAUUUGUUUAACCUUGAGGCCACCCCCCAUUCACUCACUUUUCAUACUUUUACGUCCCUAACCCUUUUAACUUGCCCCUAAGUAUUGAUGAUCGAAUAGGGACAGAAUAGGCAAGCAAUUGGGGCUACUUUCGUUUAAUUAGCAUGCUGCAUUGCAACUAAAAUUUAAACUCCAUUUGAUUCAUGAAAAAUAAAUGAUUUAAACUUUUUUUUUUUCAAAAAAUGAUCACUUGUGUGACAUAUAAAAAUGAACAUAUGAAAAAUAUUUUCACGAUCAACGGAAAUUUUGAGACAUAAAUUGUUAUCGAUAAUGAAAAUAUUUUUCAUUAAUUAAUUAUUUCGAUCAAUAUAAAUGAUUAUUUUUUAAAAAUGCUUUUCAAAUUAUCGAUUAUCCACAUAACAAGCAAAACUUUAGUCACACUCCAACGACUCCUCUGCCAGCUGUACAUGGUCCAAAGCACACCAUUGCGCAAAAGGCUUCCUCGUUUUACUAGACAAUAAGGGCAUGUUUGGUAACGAUUCUGUUCCCGGGAACAAUUUCUGAUCAGAAAUGAUUCUUUUUUACUCUGUUCCCGGGAAAUAUUUCUAAGGAUUUUAAGCCGUUUGGUAAUUGUCCAAAAUUUCCGAUUCUAGAAUAGAAUUAUAUUUGGUACCGUGCUCAAAAUUUCUACUCAAAAUCAUUUUCUUUUAAUUUUUAAUUUUUUUUUUUUUUUACUUUUUUUCCUUUUUCUUUUCUUUUCUUUUUUUCCUUUCUCUCUCUGAUUCUUCUUCUUUAAGUGGUCGGUUGUUGGACUGGCGACCGGCUAGACAAGGGUGGCGACCUCAUUGGAGUAUCGCCGGCCCUUGUUAGCUGAGCUUGGCCAGAGGCCCGCCUGACCAUCGGUGAGGCUCAACCUCGCCAGAUCACGAGGCUCACCAAGCCUCGUUGAGGCAUGGCCUCGCCGGUGGCCAAGUGGGCCUCGCUGGGGCUGGGCGAGGCUUGUUUGGCCACUGGUGAGGCUUGCCUUCGGCGAGCUCAGCGGACCUCGACCUAGCCUGGUGAGCUCACUGGACUAAUUGCUGGCAACCGGCGGUGGCAAGCGAGCCUUGUUGGUAACUAGGCAAGCCUCGCUAAAUUGUGAGGCUCGCCCAGCCCUGUCGAGGCACAACCUUGCCGGUGGCCAGGCGGCCUCGCUGGGGCUGGAUGAGGCCUGUUUGGCCAUCGGUGAGGCUUGCCUCCGGCGAGCUUGACGGACCCCGCCUUGGCCUAGCGAGCCUUCGGCGAGCUCGUCGGACUGGUUGUCGGUGACCGGUGGUGGUGGGUGACGGAUGGCAACCACGACAGUGUUGGUAGAUGAAGAAGAAGAAAAGGGAAGAAGAAUAGAAAAUAUGGGCUUGAUUAUUAGAUUUGUUCUCGGGAAUAAAAAUCAACUUUUUUUUAUUCUUGAUUUUGUUCUAAAUCUACUUCUGGGAACAAAAAUUUUACCAAACAUGAUUCUGUUCCAAAACUACUCUCCAGAACAAAAGAAUAAAAUUUGGCACUGUUUGACCGAUUACUAGACAAGCCCUAAUUGGCGAGUACAAACCCAUGGACAAAGAGGUUCCCGUUUUGAGACUGCUAAAAAACCUAUGAUAAUAGGGUUUGUUUAAUAAUAUUUAUAUUUUUCUAUAUUUAUAUUUUUUUAUUCACUGGAACAGAAAAAAUAAAAAUUUGUUUGUAUAUGUUAAUUAAUUUUUCCAUUUCUCGGAAUAGAUUAGUGGCCAGAAAAUAAAUUUUGAAUACAAAUAAAAAGUAAAACAAAAUUAAUUUUUUGUUUUCGAGAACAAAAAGAGAAACAAGGUCAUCUUAGAGAAAUAAGCUCAACGUAAGUUAAUGCUCGUCUUUACACAAUUGACACAAGGUUGAAAGCCACAUCUGGUUGGGUCUCCUAACUGGAUCUGAGUUCCCAUUUUUCGCAAUAAUUUUUUUAAAACACCAAAGUUUUUGGGAGCGAAUAAGUAAAAAACAGUAAGAUAUCUAUAUAUGGCUGUCCUUCUGCGGAAGAAAAAGUAUUUUGGAAAUAUGAUUGACAGCGUGAAAAAGGAAAAGAUUUCUUGGAUAUUUCUUUAUAUUUCUCUUUUCGACAAUAAAAGUAAUAUUUAACAAUAAAAAGAAAAUAGUGCCUUUAAUAUAUAUGGAAAAUGCAGUAUAAACAAAAACUAAGCAUACGAAGUUCUUAUGUAUGGUAAGUAAAUCCUAUAUAGAUAAAGAAAAAAAAUUUAAAAGGAGAAUAAAUAAGUUUAGGACCGCAAAUUUAAAUAGCAAUUGAAUAAUAAAGGACAAUUUUGUCUUUUUGAUAAAAAUUAAGUGGAUUUAAUCAUAUAGAGAGUAGAAAUAGCACUGCCCUUUCAUAAUAUGUCUUGGCUUUUACUUUGUUUCUGCAAGUAGUUUCACUUCAAAAUCCAUUGCACGAAGCCAACCCAUGCUUUGAAAUACCAUAAUUAUUUUGUCUAAAAAUAUAUUCAGCUUUGAAAAACCCUUGCACAUGCGUACACACCACAAUGAAGACUCGUGCAUAUUUUUUUAACAUCACUUGCAUAUUUUCUAGAUCACAAACACGCACGGCACAUGGAGUCAUGCCGGAGCAUAAAACGACCACAAAAUUUCACCCGAUUACGUGUUUGGAAAUUUGCAAUCAUUUUAUUUUAAGGAACCAUUCGAUUGUUGUAUUUUUAAGAUGUGAGUAGAGAAUAUAACACUGAAAGAGCGUUGUGGGCACGGCAACCCUUGCCCACACAUAAUGGAACACCCUCCGAUACGAUUGUGCAUUUAUCAUCAUUUUUUUAAAAUUGAUUGAUGGCGACUUUCAUCACUAAUUUUGUUGCGAAAUCCAAAAUUUUCUUGAGAAUUCCAAAGAAAAGUCCAUGUUCCAAAAUGUUACUUUCUUACCUUUUCCAUCGUGGUUGCUUCUCCUCUCGGGCGUCGAUCUUAGGAAGGUCUACAACAUCAUCUUCUUCUUCUUCUUCAAACAAUAACUAUUAUUCCAAUUUAAAACAUCAUGACUUUUAGGCCAAUUAACAUAUCAUAUUUUUGGGUAAAAUGUCAACUUUUGACCUGGAAUUGACUUUUAAUCAGGAAUUGACUUUUAGUCAAAGAGUAAACCAAAAAGUCAAUCCGAAAGUCACCCGUUUGAUUUUUUGGGUUUUCCUUGAAAAUGACUUGAAAAUUGCUUUAAAAUGAUAGUACAAGAUCAAGAAUUAAAAAACGACACUUUUUUUUUUUUUUUGCCGAGAAAUGGGCUAUGUUGCGAUCAGAAACUUGAAUCUUAAUUUUUUUACUUUCAUGACAAGUCGACUAAAAAUCAGGUGUCAAUAGUUACUAGUUCUUCUUCCACCUUCAUUUAUUAAACUAGUACGCAUAUGUCACGGCUCGAAAGAAAGCAUGUCCAACAGGUUUCUCGAAGGCCGCACGGGCAAGGGAACGCUAGAUCGAUCAGCCCGUGACACAUAGGUCCACCAAAUUCUAUUUUAGGGAUAUUUUUUUAAUUAGAAUCAAAUUACGAACCUCAUCAAAUGUCUAACUUCUUGAACUAGAAGAUUGCUAACGAUAGUAACAACAGUGUACCUACCAACUGCUAAAUAAUAAGAAUAAUAAAAUCAAAACACGUGCCUCAGCAUUAAAAUCAAUCUCAAUCAAACUCAAAUGAUUACACAUCACAUUAAAUUCAUUAAUAUGCUUAGAAAUUGAUGUACUAUCACUUGUCUACUAAGUAACAGCAGUGUACCAAUUAUUAGAUAAUGAGGAUAACAAAAUCAAAGCACAUGCAUCAGCAUCAAAAUCAAUCUCAACCAAACUUAAAUGAUUAAACAUGACAUUGAAUUCAUUGAUAUCCUUAGAAACCGACGUACCAUCACUCAUCUAUAAGUGGAAUAAACAUCUCAUGAAGUAGAUGUUGUUGAUCGCAGAGUGCUUCUCAUAUAUAUUUGACAGACAUCUCAUAAAGUGGAUCUUGUUGACAGCAAAUGACUUCUUAUACAUGUUAUAUAGAGCAUUCAUCAAACCCCAAUGCUCUUUUCUUUCACAAUGUCAAAUGUGAUAUUAUGAGCCAAUGUUAGCCAAAUAACACCCAAGAGUAGUCUAUCAUGCAAGAGGUAUGUGCAGAGUCCUUUGAUACAGACAACUCUCAAUUUGCAUCUUCCAUAGUUCAAUCAUUUCCAUCAAAUCUAUUGGUUUUCACUUUUCCUUCUUAUGUCAUUAUUAAUUUGUUUCAACCCAACCAAGCCUGUAUCUAAUAUCAAAGGUUGUUAAAAGCAAUGUAUCGAACGAUAAAUAAACACGAGAAGAAAAUGAAUCAAACACUAUUUUUACAUGGCUCGAUUAGAAGGACCUACUUCUUAGGGAGAGCAACACUUGAUUCCACUUUAAAUCAAGCAAUACACUAAAAAUUAUAACCACACCCAAGUCACUCAAACAUUCAAUGUUUUCCAACUCCCAAAUAAACCUAACAAGUCAUGCAGUAUUUAUUUAUUUAUUUUAGUGGGGAAAAAUACCAAAAAAGUCCUAAACCUAUUGCAUUGGUACCAAUUCAAUUAUACAAUUUUCAAUUGGACCAAUUCAGUCAUAAACCUUUUUAUAUUGGUACCAAUUAAGUCUAUCCAUCCAAUUUUGGCCGGUCAGUGCUGACGUAGACGUUGAUCGGUGGUUGGAUGCUUAUGUGACAAUUUUUUUUAAUUUUUUUUUUGAAUUUUUAUUAUUUUUUCCUUUUUCUUUUCUUUUUCCUUUUCUUUUCUCCCUUCUUCCUCCUUGGACUGUUCCGGUGGUGGUUGGCGAGGGUCGUGAACCUCAUCGACGGCGAGGGCUUUGCGGCCCUCGCCGGGCCUCUCCCAGGGCCGCCGAUGAGGCGGUUUCGCUCGGAUCUAGGCGAGGCCAGCCUCACCCUGGCCUUGCCGUGGGCGAAGGCGGCCUUGCCCGUGGUUGGUGAGGCCAUGGCAGCCAUCGCCAGGGCGGAGGCGAGGGCUGCUAAGCCCUCGCUAGCCGCCGGUGAGGGUCGUAGCCCUCGCUUGGCCUUGCUCAGGGUCAUAGGCGAGGCGGCUUUGCCCUGGCCUUGUUGCGAGCAAAGGUAGUCAUCGCCAGCCGACAUGCUAGCAAUGGCCACCUUUACCCGCGGCAAGGCUUGGUGAGGGCCGCGUUGGCCUCGCCGACCAUAGGGGAGGCCGCUUUCGCUAGCAGCCAGGCCAAGGCGAGGCUGGCCUUGCCCAGAUCGCGAAGCCACCUCGCCGGCCGCCCUAGGCAAGGCUAGGCGAAGGUCGUGACCCUCGCCGACGCUAGCAAGGGCUUCACGGCCCUCGUCCAGUGGUCGGUGAGCCUCCGGUGAGGCUUGCCAAUCGCCUCAAGGACGGUCCAAGGAGGAAGGAGGGAUAAAAGAAAAGAAAAAAGAAAAAAACUAAUAGAAAUAUUCGGAAAAAAAUCAUAACAAUUGCCAAAUCAGCGUCCAGCUACCGACCAACAUCCACGUCAGCGCCGGCCAACCAAAAUUGGCCGGAUGGACUGAAUUGGUAUCGAUAUUAAGAGGUUUAUGACUGAAUUGAUUUAAUUAAAAAGUUUAUGAUUGAAUUAAUACCAAUGUGCUAGGUUUAUGACUUUUUUGGUACUUUUCCCUAUUUUGGUGUUGGGUAAUCAAUCUAGUGGGUUUAGUUUGCGAAAAUCUGAGUUAAAAUUAAGAAUUGCGUCAAAAUGUUCGAUUAGGGAUUAAAUUGCAAUUUGAUGAAAUUCAAAGGCCAAUAUGCAAAAAUUUAGAAAAUUAAAGGUGUAGAUAUGAAAUUGACAUCGAGAGGAACUUGGAAUUGGUCAUCAGAAGUCUAGAACCAACUGGCAAGCAGUUGAAUCGACCAGCACCAUUGGUGGCCAGUCAGACCGGUCAGAGCGAUUCACUCCAGUUCGACCAAUUUUUAACUGGUUCUUGAUCAAAUUUGGUUUGGUUUUGGCUAUUUCGCUCGCUUGGGAUCUCCGUGGGUUCAAAAUUUAUACAAAUUGACCCUUAAAAAGAAAAUUUAUCUUAUUUGAAAAGAAAUUGCCCGAUUGUGAUUCAAUUAGGUCAAUCAAACUUUAUGAAUAUAAUCUAGGGAUCUUUUAUUGACUUAAUUGAAUAAUUAUCAUGAAAGGCAACGAGUCAGAACCAUAGGUACCUUGAAUUGAGCCUAAAAAGCUAAAAUGAUUGAAUUGGCAAUUCAAUGGGCAAAAUUACGAACUAAUUAAAAUUAAAUUCAAUUAGCGCCACAAUUGCCCUAUCUAUUAAACUAGCCAUGUAUAAGAUCACUUAAUAUGUUCAAAUUGACAUCGGAUUGAAGUGCUUGAGCUAAUGUUGAAAAUGAAACUAGGUCUAAUAUCAAAAUUGAACCUAGAUUUAUGAAAUUAAACCAUAAUCUUGAAUGAGUAAACUUAAAUUUUUCCAAUUGAAACUUAAUUGCUUGACUUUCUUAUACUUGGAAGAGUAAAAAUUUUCAAAUUGAGAAGUUCUGAUGUGAAUUUCUCACAAUCAAUUUUGGAUUUGGACUUAUCUUAUGAAAAUGAGUAAAGAACAAUCAUCCGUUCGCAAUUCAUGAAGAAUUGAUUUUGGUCUCUUAACUAGGGCUCAAAACAGCAAUUUGUAUUUUGACUGGGCAAUUCGUGAAAAUUGAAUGCACGAGUGGAUUUAAAAUAGUCUCUAAACUAAAUGUCGAAGAAUGAACUACAUCUAAUUACGACAACAAUGAAAGUAAUUUGAUUUUUGGCCGAUUUAGAACCUAAAACUGAGAAAUUCAGAAAGUAAGAUUCUUAUUGAUUUUUGCAAAAAUUUUGACACGAAAGUCAAAUUAACAUUAAAAGAAAUGUCUUUGUGAAUUUUUUAUUUUUUCAAUUUUUUUAUCAAAAGUUUGAUCAAAAGUCAACCAUUUAGUUGACUCUUGAUUUCUUGGUCAGAUCUUUGAAUUUUUGAUAAAUUAAUUUGAAAAAAGUGAAAUUAAAAUUAAAUGGCAUCUUUUUUACUAAAAUGUCAAUUUUUGACCCGAAAUUGACUUUUGGUCAAAAUGUUGACGAAAAAGUUAACCCAAAAGUUAAUCGUUUGAUUUUUGGGUUUUCCUUGAAAAUAACUUGUGUUGCUUUAAAACAACAGAACCCAGAGAAAGAAUUGAAAAAUGACAUUUUUUUUUCGCCGAGAAAUGGGCUUUGUCGCGAUCAGAAACCCGAAUCUCAAAUUUUUUUUUUAUCUUUCAUGAUGCGUCGACUAAAAAUCAUAUGUCAAUAGUUACUAGUUCUUCUUCCUCCUUCAUUUAUUAAACUAGUAAGCACAGGCCCACCAAAUUCUCUUUUAGGGAUGUUUUUAAUUAGAAUCAAAUUACGAAACUCAUAAAAUGUCUACUUCUUAACCUAGAAGAAUUACUAACGAUAGUAACAGCAGUGUACCAACUGCUAAAUAAUUAAGAUAAUAAAAUCAAAACACAUACCUCAACAUUAAAAUCAAUCUCAAUCAAACUCAAAUGAUUAAACAUCACAUUAAAUUCAUUGAUAUGCUUAGAAAUUGAUGUACUAUCACUUAUCUGUAAGUAACGGCAGUGUACCAACUAUUAGAUAAUGAUGAUAAUAAAAUCAAAGCACAUGCAUUAGCAUUAAAAUCAAUCUCAAUCAAACUUAAAUGAUUAAACAUCACAUUGAAUUCAUUGAUACCCUUAGAAACCAACGUACCAUCACUCAUCUAUAGAGCAUUUUUUCAUCAAACCCCAAUGGUCUUUUUGUUCACAAUGUCAAAUGUGAUAUUAUGAGCCAAUGUUAGCCAAACAACACCCAAGAGUAGUCUAUCCGGCAAGAGGUAUGUGCGGAGUCCUUUGAUAUAGACAACUCUCAAUUUGCAUCUUCCAUAAAUCAAUCAUUUCCAUCAAAUCUAUGGUUUCCACUUUUCCUUCUUAUGUCAUUAUUGAUUUGUUUCAACCUAACCAAGCCUGUAUUUGAUAUCAAAUGUUGUUAAAAGCAAUGUAUUGAACGAUAAAUAAACACAAAAAGAAAAUGAAUCAAAUACUAUUUUUACGUGGCUUGGUUAGAAGGACCUACUUCUUGGGAAGAGCAGCACUUGAUUCCACUUUAAAUCAAGCAAUAUACUGAAAAUUAUAACUACAUCCGAAUUACUCAAACAUUCAAUGUUUUCCAGCUCCCAAAUAAACCUAACAAGUCAUGCAGUAUGUUUUUUUGGGGGGGGGGGUGUAAAUAUGUGAAAACCAUUAAUCAUAUGGGAUACAAAAGCUUAAGGGAAUUCCCUAACAUUUCAAAGAAACUAACUAUGCGAGAAGAUGGAGAUAUGAAACCUCCAUAUAGUAAUCAACAAAACGUUUGCUUGGGAAGGCUUACUAUGUUGGUAGAGUGACGCCCUACCUCUUACAAUCUUUUGAAAAGUUAUGCCGUAUUUAGCCCUCACUAUUCUUUGUGAAACAAUCUCUUUAUCUCGCAAAGUAAUUCAUAAAUAUUUCUAGAAAAUUUAUUGGCUUGCACCAAAAGUUUCUCUUGGAUACAAUUCACGAAGAAGGCCUACUUCUUAUAUAGAAAAGAUUUGCAUCAAAAAGUGAAAAUCCUUUUUGUGAAACCUUCUCGAAUUAGGAAACCAUUCAAACUAGCAAACAUCCUCAAACUAAAAAACCUACUUGCAUUGAGUUUCCUCAGCAGCUUGCAUUUUUGUAAGGUAUUUGAAUAACUCACACUUGUGCCACUCUUAUACAAUUGUUAUUUGCCGAUGACACCAUCUGCUUCUUCGAGGCAACGAGAAUAGAGUGACAACUAUCGGCAGUAUUGAAUGAGUAUCGGCAAGCAUUGGACGAGGCUAUUAAUCUAAAAAACCAGGCGUGCUCUUUGGCAUAUGCAUAGAUGGGGCAUUUUGCAAUGACUUGGAAUGAUACUUUGGAAUUCCACCGAUCUGGAAUGGCUCGAGCAAAGAAGUCUUUCGAAUGGAUUACAUGGAUCGAGCUAGAGGCAAACCGACGGGGUGGAAGGAUCGUUCUUCUCCAAGGUAGGUAUAGUCUUAAUCAAAUUAGCAGUGCAAGCAAUUUCCCCGUUCGCAACAUCAAUCUUGAAGGGUGCAAAUAGUAUCCAUUUUAUUUCUUUAAUUUUAUAUUUUUCUAAUUCCUAAGAAUAGGUUUGGAUAAAAAAUCAUUUAAUAUAAUGCAAUUUUAUUUUUCAAUUUUCGGGACAAUUUUUUAGCCUAAAAAUAUGUUUGGAAUAGAAAUGAAAAGUAACAAUUUUCUCAUUUUCUAUUUCUAAAAUAAAAAUGAGAAAUAAUUUUUUUUCUCAUCGCUUGCUCUUGUUGCUAACAAGCUACCCACUUGCUGUCAUCCACCAUUUGCUGUCGUCCGUCAGCCGCCAAACAUAAAUUUUGUGUCAUUAUUAAACGCAUAUUUUUGCUCAAAAACUCAUCUAGAAAAUAGAAAUAGAAAAAUCGAUAUAUGACUUGAAAUAGGAUCUAGGAAUAGGAUGCCUAUUAUUCGCACACUAAGAUACCCAUCUCUAUUUGGAAAGCCAUCAACUAACCGAUGGCAAGCCUUUGAUUGAAAUCUAACUUGGAAGGCAAGGGGAUUUACUUGAAAAGACGGUCCAAGCUAAAGAAUACUCUCUAGGGGGGUUGGAGAAGCAUUGCAGCAGGGAGCUACUUACUUCCAGAGCGAACUACGCGGCGCAUUGGAGACGGGGCGAAAUGUCAAAAGAUGGUUGGCCGCCGAAAGGAAUCCUGAUGGGGUCCGUAUCGCGGUCGCGACAAACGGAUGAGGAUCGCUGUCGGGAUCACCGGUAUUGUUCAGCAGUUCUUACUCAGACGAAGAUGAGAAGAGCAUGGCUUGAUUCGCUGGAGGGCCGUGAUCGGAACGAAGGAUCCAAACUCGUCAAAGCGGAUUCCGAGUUCGGCCAACCAACUUUUCGGUUGAUUAACUUGUUGAAAACGUUGCUUCUCUCCCAACCGAAAGCGAGAGCUCAACCGUCUUGAAGCUUUAUCCAUCAUGAGCUCAUGACUAAGGAGUUUAGUCCAAGCUGCACCCUCCAGCUGUGGUGAUCGAGUUCGUAUUCGAAUCCCAGCCAAAAUGCAUAGACCCUAAUACUUCUCGAAAUGACAUGUCAUCCCCGUUUUCCCGUUUCUCUGUCCUUUUGUUUCUUUUGAGCAUCGGUAUAGUGGAGCAAAAUUAUCCAAUCAGUUCUAUCUAUCGUACGAAUGUCAAUUCAGUCAUUAAAUUUUUAAUUUUAUCGAUUUAAACAUAAACCUUUGAGAGAAUAGAUCAGAAUUUCACGUAAAAUUUUAUAAUUAAAUGGUAAAAUAUAUCUUAAGCUCCUAGCUAAGAAGUUUAGUAAUAGCCUCCAGCUCAAUAAUCAUAUCUUGCGGUGAUGGAGUUCAUAUUCUAGUCCCAGCCAACAUGCGUAGACCCUAAUACGUCUAGAAGAAAGCACCAAGACGUAGAUAAUGGCAUGUCGUCUACGUUUUCCUUUUCUCGGUCUUUUUGUCUCAUUCGAGCCUAUAUGUGGGGGCAAAAAUCCAAUCAGCCAUAAACCUAUUGUGCAGAUGCCAAUCCAGUCCUAAAAUUUUUCCUUUGCCAAUUUAAUUAUGAAUUUUUGGUGCAAAAUUCUAAUCUAGUCCUAGAUACAGUUAGUGUCAGCCGCCUUAUGUGGCACACCGUGAUGCUAAUGAUUUCCGGCGAAAAUUGACUGGAAGGAUUAGAUUGGAAUUUUGCACAAAAAUUUUUAUGACUAAAUUGAUAAAUUUAGAUCAAUAUUAACAUCUAUACAAUAAAUUUAAGGUUAAUUAGUCAAUUUCUGGAUGGAGUGCUUUUGUCGUUUUGUGAUCUGUCUUCCACUUGUGUCUUUAUCUUCACCAACCCCCCGCGGAAACCAGCACCAACGCAGUCGUUCUUCCCACAUGGAAAAAUUCCGCCGCGGCAAGUAGCACGGAAGGUGAUGGGAAGCCGAUCCCCUGCUGACUUCGUCAUAAGUUUGGUGUCGGUCCACUUGUUUCGACGACUAACUUGCGAAUGGACUAUUACCGGACCGGACAUUCUCUAUUCUUGCAACCGCGAGCAAUCUCGUAAUUAAUAUCCUGACUUAGUAACCUAAUUUUUAAUCGGUACCGGCCGCCAUUGACCAUGAUGUUGCAACCGCGACCAAUCUCGCAUGUAAGGUCCUGACUUAGUAACCUCAUAUUUGAUCGUUUCCGGUUACUAUUGACCGUGAUGUCGAAAUCAAAUAUUCUCUAUUCUUGCAACUACGACCAAUCUCGUACAUAAUGUCUGGACGUAGUAACCUAAUUUUUAAUCGGUACUGGCCAAUGUUGACCGUGAUGUCAAAACAACUUGGUCGCUGGAUAAUUUGUGACCAAAAUCAUCAUUACCGAAGCCGAAAGGAAGAAAGAAACAAAAAAGGAAUUUUAGAGCAAUCUGGCAUUGACUUUAACGAAAGGAGAUGAAAAAAGAUUAGAAAUUUUUUCGUAAGACCGUAUUUUGUGCAUGAUUCUACGUUAAACAAAGCGGGCUUUCCCGGAGUUCCUCUUCGACCGUCAGCCGAUCACUGCCCCUCCGCAGUCGUCACCACGAACCUCCCGUUCCCGGUCGCCGCCGCCUCCCGCAGCUCCCCGAUCCCGACUUCGGCGCAGGUGUACGCCACCCUCUUGCCCAGGCUCCGGCCUCUCGCCGCUGCGUCGCGCGCGGCCCCCCACCUCCACGCCCCCGAUUCGACUUCCCUUUCGCACCAGAACACGAGCUCGGGCUUCGAGUUGCUGUACAGGUACAGAAAAUC
rnacentral:lncRNA from 1 species